AAGUGAGACAGGUAAGUACCAUCCUCGUGUAUUAACAACGGACCCGCAAGAUUCGGGCGUAUGGAGCAGUAGGACUGAUACGCAGAGGCUGGGCAAACAGACGAAUUAGGGAUGGUGCGAAGGGUAACCCAGCGACCUCUCCCAACAACGUCAGUUUUUGACCGCCGUAUCAAGAAACGCACCGCACCAUCCAAGAGGAACACAUCAU